CAGAGAGCCGGGGCUCUGACAGGUCCUCCACAUGUCCCUGUCCUAGCUGCCCGUAGCUGUUGGCUCCCUGACGGACACGACAUUAAUCACGUUAAUACCGUACAGAGCUAGUAAUUCCGAGGUAAAUCGUAACGAGAGUUUGUUUUCGCCGCACUUGUAUGUUGGAGCUAGUUGGCUAUACUGUUAAGCUAACGUUAGCAAAAGUGCUAAACAUUCUCCAUUGAAGUGUCCGUCUGCUGGUUGGGUCCUUGCUGUCAUCAUUCUCCAUGACCAUCAUCAGCAUCUUCCUCAGUGUCUUAAUAUCUAUCAACCAACCCCCCUUGAGGACAUCAAAAAGUAACAAGUCAACAGGUAACAAACCAUUUGACACACUGGAGACACAAUUAACUCUUUAACAUUUAUUUAUUUAUAUACUGUAUAUUUAAUGUAUAUAUGUCAUUAUUUUUUUCAAUAGUUUCAUUACAUAGCCUACUCAUGGUGAUUCAUAUUUUUUUUACAGUAGAAAAAUAAUGUUUUGAUUUCAGGAGUACUACAAUUAUGUUCACGCGGAGGUAUUCAAAAUCAUCACUGUAAAAUAAAAUAAAAUAGGUCAGGGUACAUGGGCCAAGUCUGUCGUAAUACGUCAAGAAAACAUUCUUAGAACACCAGUUUUCACUUUUAUAAUUUCCCUCAACAGCACACAAAAAGGAUUAUGAUACAUACACCAAAUUAAUACAAACAAGGUACAUUUUAUACACAUCACUGAAGUGAGGAAGAUUAAAUGUGAAGACGAAGAAGUAGAA